ensembl:lncRNA novel transcript
CAGUGAGAUGCAGAAGUCUACUUCCUUCUGUCGCAGGGCCUGGAGCUGGGCAGUCCCAUGGUGGUCCACGAUGAGGCGGAGGACAAUAUUCAUGCCAUCACGACUCACCAGAGCUAAGUCCCGGUAACACUGUGAGAAGUAAAGUUUGUGAUCAGCCAGCAAGCUGAGGAUAAGGUCCUCACCCCACCCACAGUGGACCCCUUGCCCUCUAAUCCCUUAAACUUAAAUAACACCA